rnacentral:rRNA from 1 species
AAUGAACGCUGGCGGCAUGCCUAACACAUGCAAGUCGAGCGGGAGCUCGGGCUCUGGCCUGGCGGCGAGUGGUGAACGGGUGGGUAAUGCACUGGUACGUGCCCUAUCGUGGGGGAUCGCCCGGCGAUAGCCGGAUCAAUCCCGCAUACGACGAGAUGUUGAAACCGGGGGACCCAAAGUCCUAGAGCGUUUUGAGCGGGCUAUGUCGCAUUAGCUAGUUGGUGGGGUAAAGGCUUACCAAGGCGACGAUGCGUAGCUGGUCUGAGAGGACGACCAGCCACACUGGGACUGAGACACAGCCCAGACUCCUACGGGAGGCAGCAGUGGGGAAUUUUGGACAAAGGGGGAAAGCCUGAUCCAGCCAUGCCGCGUGAGGGAAGAAGGACUUCGGGUUGUAAACCGCUGUUGUUCGGGAAGAAAUAAUGUGUGCUAAUAUCCGAAGGUGAUGACGGUACCGGAAGAAUAAGCACCGGCUAACUACGUG